CGAGUGGCGGACGGGUGAGGAAUACAUCGGAAUCUACUCUGUCGUGGGGGAUAACGUAGGGAAACUUACGCUAAUACCGCAUACGACCUACGGGUGAAAGCAGGGGAUCUUCGGACCUUUCGCGAUUGAAUGAGCCAUGUCGGAUUAGCUAGUUGGCGGGGUAAAGGCCCACCAAGGCGACGAUCCGUAGCUGGUCUGAGAGGAUGAUCAGCCACACUGGAACUGAGACACGGUCCAGACUCCUACGGGAGGCAGCAGGU
rnacentral:rRNA from 1 species